AAAAAGUUAUGUGUUACUAGUUACUUGAAAAAGUAAUCUGAUUACAUAAAGUUAGUUGUAAUGCAUUACCCCCAAUGCUGAAGAUAACUAUAACGAUAACAAUUAGUCUCCAUGAACGAUAUCAACUCUGUAGUUUUGUGCUUGUGCUCUUUAAAAUCAGAUGGACUCUUAUUGGCUGUCAAUGUUUUUAUCCUUCAUCAUUCUGAAAAUGAUUCCAAUGACAUAGUUCUUCUGUACCGUUAUAGUUGUUUUGUGGACAAAUUAACCAUGGUUUUAUUAUGGUAAAAGUGCAGUAACCAUGUUUUUUGGUGGAUUGAUUACCAGUUUUAGUACAAAUACCAUAAACUAUGGUUAAUUAACAUGUUUUAACUACAAUAACCGUGUUUUUUGUAGUAAAACUAUGGUUAAUAUCCGUAAAGACUCCAUAUUCUAUUAGACUUAGAACGAUUAAAACUUAGUGUGAACAGGCCUUUAAGUUGUUUUAUGUGCACACAAGUAAUCAGUAAUAUGUAUAUAUGCCAUUUUAUAUGUAGGUCCAUAUAUAGUAGGCUACAUUGUGAUUGUUGCUUUAUUUUAUUUUUAUUUUGCUUAUUUAUAGUCCUUCAUGUUAUUUAUUUUUCUAUUAUGUUAUUUUUUUUGUGCAAUGGUGACGAUAACUGAGGGUCAAAGCGUCGCUAAUUAAUGAAGUAUUUUAUUGCACUUCAAAUAUUGAGCGCACGCGACCGUCCGGACAGGAGCGCGCGGGUUCGCUAGAGUCGCGGGUCCGCGCUUCCCGCUGUCAGGACGAGAGCUGUCACUUGGCGCAGCCGCUGUUUGUACAGGUGUUUUAGUAAAGAAAACAACGGCAAGACGCUUCCAGUUCAAACACCCACCGCACUCCCGGCCUACUCGAAAAAGACGCGAGGAAAGAAUAAUAUAUGGUGGAAAAUAAUGCGAGAAAAGGGCUGAAGGUUUGACAGAUGAGCAGCGGGUCGUUGGGGAGUUCGAGUCUGUUUCCCGCGCGCGGGCUUUGAGUGAUGGCGUGACUAAUUUGUGGAGUGACCGUUAACGCUGAGGAGAGAUUUCAACUGAACAUCUCAAACUGACAUUUAACACAUGCAAGAAGAAGCAUCUCAAACUGAUCCAACACACACAGUUUACGGACUCGUCGAUUGGACUUCAGCAUCAGGAAGAGUUGUGAAGAGCAGCACAAUCCAGGAUUGAGUCGGUCUUUAAACUCAUAUGAUCCUGUGUAAUCCAGAGACUCAACAGAGACGCACUGCCCCCUGCUGGACACACUGACUUUCUGCUCACAGAAUGAAAUCAUUCACACUAGAAUCAAUAUUUCAGCUGUAUUUAUUGAUUUAUUGUUUGAUUUGAUUUAUUGAUAUGAUAAGUAGCCGCAUGAAUGUCUGUGUUGCUGUGGAGUUUCUGCUCUUCAGCUCCGUUUGUGCGACUGACCCUCAGGAUUAACGGCCGCUCGGGUUGUUGGGUGUUUUGCUUUGGGACGCGUCGUUACGAUGCUGUGAAUCUGUCAGCGGCUCCAGACACGUGCUGUUAUUCUCUCUCACACACACACACUCCUGCUGAAGAGCAGCGGUCACUGACCGUUUAAAGCGGUGCGUGACGAGUCUGGACCGUGUCAGUGUUGUGCAUCACUCAGAACUGAACUGAGAAUGACUUUAAAUCACAGAUCAGUUCUUUCAUUUGAAUCGAGGUGGCAAACAGGACUCAAAAUUGCAAGUUGAAUUAAAAAAAUUAUAUAACUGUAAAAGUGGGAUCAUAAAAAUGUCAUGAUAGUUUUUAUUUAAUACUGCCCUAAAUAAACUAUUUCUCGUAACAAAUGUUUACAGUCCACAAGACAAAAGAACACCUGAAAUUAUAGAAAUGAACUAAAAGUUCAAAAGUUGUUCUGCUUUAGGCAACGACCCAGUAAAGCAUCGCAAUAAUCCAUGAC